rnacentral:rRNA from 1 species
UACGGGGGGGGCAAGCGUUGUUCGGAAUUACUGGGCGUAAAGGGCUCGUAGGCGGCCAACUAAGUCAGACGUGAAAUCCCAAGGCUUAACCUUGGAACUGCGUCGGAUACUGGAUGGCUUGAAUUCGGGAGAGGGAUGCAGAAUUCCAGGUGUAGCGGUGAAAUGCGUAGAUAUCUGGAGGAAUACCGGUGGCGAAGGCGGCAUCCUGGACCGACAUUGACGCUGAAAGCCGAAAGCUAGGGGAGCAAACGGG